GCAGAUACGCCCACGUGCACAGGACGAGUGCGCCGCCGAGCCCCGGGCUGCUCCUGCCCAGGGUGUGCAUUUGAACUGCAAAGCUUUAAAUAAGAAAAGUAAACUUGGGACUUGAAGCAAGAGUGCACGCUUGCGGGGCUUCAACCCCGGUGGGCUGUGUGCACUACUCCGUGCAUAACGCGCCAGAGGGGUCGCCAAGCAGGAAGCCUGGGCGAACGUUUUACUCCUUAAUUGGGAAGAUGGGGCCCAUACCCACACCCCUCGGGAGGUUACAGAGGGAACUUGCACAGGGAAAAUGAGCGUGGGGGCGCGGAAACACACUCUACAGCACGGAAUCCCACCCAGACGGUGCACGUUCAAUUUUAAAUGUGACUGUCCAAGUAGAGUCAGUUUGGGGAAGCUCGAUGAAAAGUGAACGUAUGGGUAUUUUACGCAUGAAAUCUGUUCAAACUGGCAUAGGACUCUAGUGUCGGGGUGUCCCCGCUGUGGGAGGUUCCUCUGGAGAUCUCUAGCUCUAGGUGGCCCCCAUAACCUACCCAGUCUCAACUCCUAAGGGGUUAACCCAAGCGGAUUCCGAGGGGCCACACAGCCCCCUACACCCCGUUACUCUCACCCACUCCGAUCCUUGUCGGAGACCCUCGCCCCUCAGCCCACCCACGUGAGUCCGUGGCCCCUUACCUGCGGUCCAGGGACGCCGGCCUCCUGUGAAGCUGGAGUGUCUGUCUGCCCCCGCACGUGUUCGCCCCGCGGAGCAGGUCCUCGUAAGCUUCAAGAGAGCAAGACUUUGGUGGUUCAAACCCAGGCUCUGUCACUAGUUAGCUUUGUGUGCUUGGAUUGGAACCAGUCCAGUUGUCAUCUGAGAGGCUUCCUCCAUCAUGGAGGAGAUGGAGAUAGAACAACCACUGUCAGGUGGAAUACUAUGAGCUCCAGAUUCAGGAAGCCAAGACGGGAGUGUUGUGCCUGGGAAAAUUAGGACAACCCUGACUCAAAGAAACAAAAGAAACUGAAGCAAGAGGACAAACAGCAAAACAGUAAGGAACCAAAACCAAACGAUCCAAACCAACAAACUAACAAAGGGAUGGGUGGCUGCGGGGGUGGGGUGUGUGGAAGCCUGGUGAUGCAGUUUUGUGGUAGAGCACUUACAGUUACUUCCAAGGCCUUUGUUUCAAUCUCCAGGUACUGGGGAGAAAGUAUCUGUUUGUGGACCUAAAAACCCAAGGAAUACAGAGGUGUCAGGUACCACUGCAAUCACAAUUCAAAUCAUGUGAUCAAGACUCUUGACCCUCCCCUUAGUCUUUCUCCUCUCUCUCUCUCUCUCUCCUCCCCUACCAGUGACUCAUUUGACAAGUGUCUACAAGCUGUGCCCACCAUGGAACCAGUCUCUAGGAACUGAAAUCUAUCAGUAGACCAAGCAGACGCAAUUCUUGUCUCUGGUGUUCACAUGUUGUCCUUGAAUAAUAGCUUCACUGGUGGGUUUUACUUUGAUGGCCCUGGCUUAUAUUAUUCCAGCACCAAGUCCAGUAGAGAAAGGAUAACCCAUCUCUCAAUGGAUUCGACAGAAGCCAGCAACCGAAUUUCACUCCUUAGAAUUAUGUCUCAAACUUAGACCUUGUGAGCAGUUCAGACCUGUGCCAAAAGGCAGAUGUGCAUCUUCCACCCCUGUGGUUGGGAUCAACUCCCCUGGAAAGAGAGUAGCCGAGAUGAAACAGCCUUAUAGAAAUCAGCUCUGCUAAAAGCAAAGUCAUUAGUUUUAUUUUGUUUCGUUUUGGGGUUUGUGAAACCUAAGGCCUGUGUAUACCAAACACAGGCUGUGCCACAGAGCCACAGGACCCACAAGCCCUAACUAGGGAAGGUAAUUAGAUUGUGGAAGGCUAAAUCAACCACUGUCCUUUGACUGGUGUCUUUUAUUGAAUAGAGUGUUAAUUGUCUUCUGAAGUUAAGUCAUUUAUUUGUCUUUCUCCUUUAAUGUUAAGAUUCCAUAUUUUCCUAUCUUCAAAAUUUUGUAUGUAUUUAAAAUACUCAGCUUUUAAUUUAUCUGGCCUUGGAGUUUUAAUGAAAAGUUUUAAAUAUUGGGUAAAUAAAAAUAAAACAUAACA
rnacentral:lncRNA from 1 species